CAGGAAGUGACAUCAUUUUGAAGGGAAAUCAACAGCAUAAACAUGACAAUGGUCUCUUUCUGGUCUCUUUGCACGUAUCAUGCAACUUCUAUGACAUUGAAGUUGAAAGACUGGAUGCAACUUUACCCAGACAAGGAAAAAUAAAGUGAUGCAGGUUUGGAAUGAAAUGA